rnacentral:rRNA from 1 species
UACGUAGGGGGCAAGCGUUGUCCGGAAUCAUUGGGCGUAAAGAGCGUGUAGGCGGCCAGAUAAGUCCGCUGUGAAAACUCGAGGCUCAACCUCGAGAUGUCGGCGGAAACCAUUUGGCUAGAGUCCGGAAGAGGAAAGUGGAAUUCCUGGUGUAGCGGUGAAAUGCGCAGAUAUCAGGAGGAACACCGGUGGCGAAGGCGGGUCUCUGGGCCGAUACUGACGCUGAGGAGCGAAAGCGUGGGGAGCAAACAGG